GUGGAGGGUGCAGAGAGUGUCAGGAAGAGGAAGAGCGAGGGUGUAGCAGGGAAAGUACUGGUCUGUGCUGCGUGUGGGAAGUGACUUUAGUGGCGGCGUGAAGGCGAGGACACGAGUGAGGUGCUGGCAGGCUGACUGAGGGCGAGCACUGCCCUGAGUGACAAUGAUGGAUGAAGAUUGAGUGGCUGGUAAUGAUGAUGUCCUCUGCCGCUCUCUUACCUCAUAAAACUAUUACAUUUCUUGGAACGUCAUUGUACGACAGAGUAACCAGCUAAACAGCCGAGCCCUCAGCGUGCGCCUCCCGCCGGACAAGGGACCCUACAUCCAACACUACCUCAUUGAGAUCCACAACGAAGGCUCCUCCUACUCACUCCAAGCUUCUGAAAACCGCUUCGACACCCUUCCUUCGCUCAUCACCUAUUAUUCUCAGUGCUGCGAAGAGUUGCUGGCUCAGCUCAAGCUUCCUCGCACCAUCCAGGAGGCCAAGACCCGCCAUGAACUCGGCUCUCUCUCGCCUGCUCGGAC